rnacentral:rRNA from 1 species
GACGAACGCUGGCGGCGUGCUUAACACAUGCAAGUCGAACGGAAAGGCCCUUCGGGGUACUCGAGUGGCGAACGGGUGAGUAACACGUGGGUGAUCUGCCCUGCACUUUGGGAUAAGCCUGGGAAACUGGGUCUAAUACCGAAUAGGACCACGCGCUUCAUGGUGUGUGGUGGAAAGCUUUUGCGGUGUGGGAUGGGCCCGCGGCCUAUCAGCUUGUUGGUGGGGUAAUGGCCUACCAAGGCGACGACGGGUAGCCGGCCUGAGAGGGUGACCGGCCACACUGGGACUGAGAUACGGCCCAGACUCCCACGGGAGGCAGCAGUGGGGAAUAUUGCACAAUGGGCGCAAGCCUGAUGCAGCGACGCCGCGUGAGGGAUGACGGCCUUCGGGUUGUAAACCUCUUUCAAUAGGGACGAAGCGCAAGUGACGGUACCUAUAGAAGAAGCACCGGCCAACUACGUG